UGAGAAUCGGUCAAAUGGCAAAAUUGUUGUGGGAGGCUUCUCUGCCAUCGUCUUCGCCAAUGGGAGGCUGUGUAAGGCAGCAGUGCUGUCGGUUCGACUGCGUGAGGAUCCCAGUCAAAGCCAAAUGUUGCUAAAGCGAGGCAUUUCUGCCAGUAUUCUCAGCAUUGUGCCACUGGAGCGCAGAAAGACUAGAAGACCUGUAAGGAGUUUCAAGAGGAUCACCAUGGACGAUUAAAAUUGUGACCAGUUUCUUCUUUAUUCGGAGUCGUCUCCUCGAGGGAUCACCAACGUGCCGUGAGGAGUUCCUACUGAGGAGGUGCCAGCAGAUUAGUGAUUGUGUGAAGAGGAACCGCAGCUCCAAAGCCGGUUUUAACCUCGUGAGGUGUUCUCGCUAUCAGCCAUUAGGGAGCACCCAUGUCUUCGCAAUAGAGUCGCGUGAGUUAUAGUUCCGGGGGUAGGAAAAUAGAUCGGCUGUAGUCUCCAAUCUUAUGGGCAACUCAGUUGGUCCCUUAACAAAAAAACUUGUAUAGCACUUGAAUGUCAAAAUCAGACUGACUCUAUAUUUUAGCUUUGGCCACAAUGAGACCUCCGCCGUUUGAGUACAUAGAAAGGGAUACAUAGUCUUAAGCAUAA
rnacentral:sRNA from 1 species